UAAGUAAGCUUUGAUCCAGAGAUUUCCGAAUGGGGAAACCCAGCAUGAGUUAUGUCAUGUUAUCGAUAUGUGAAUACAUAGCAUAUCAGAAGGCACACCCGGAGAACUGAAACAUCUUAGUACCCGGAGGAAGAGAAAGAAAAUUCGAUUCCCUUAGUAGCGGCGAGCGAAACGGGAAGAGCCCAAACCAACAAGCUUGCUUGUUGGGGUUGUAGGACACUCUAUACGGAGUUACAAAGGACGACAUUAGACGAAUCAUCUGGAAAG
rnacentral:rRNA from 1 species